CCUCUGCAAUGAAGAUAGUGUAGUUCAACUGACAAGCACUGAAAAGCACUAUUAAGCCUUUCUCUCCUGUCUGAUGAAUCUG
rnacentral:snoRNA from 1 species